UUUUCGUGAUUUUAAGUCCGGCUGCCCGGUGAGGGACACCCCUUUACGGCAGCGGUAAAGCUUUAAUCGUAGCUCAAUCCUUGCCCUUUAAUUGAGCUAUGUGAAUGGUAAGACGAGGGUUCAACUGUCUCGUCGCGAUAGAUUAAAACGGAGCGUGAGUGAAUAUACUCACAUGAAUUAGAGGGACGAUAAGACCCCGUGGAGCUUUGCCCUCCGUGGCUUAGGCUGGGGCAGCCAGAUGGGAAUGAAAAUACCAUACGAAAGCGGGCGGCUAUUAACGCUAAGUGAACGGCGGAAAAGUUACCCCGGGGGUAACAGGCUAAUUGCUCUGAGAGUACCUGUUGAUGAGCGGGUUUGGCACCUCGAUGUUGGUUCAGGGUAUCCCGAAGAU
rnacentral:rRNA from 1 species